GCUCGUAGAUGUUUCUCAUCAGCUCCACGAAGCUCUGCAAGCCUUUUAAUUUGGUCUCCAGUUCGGUCCGCCGGAGACACUCCGCAUCCAGGUCCUGAGGGUGGGAGCAGCGAACCUCCAUUUCCGGCAAGCUGUGCCUUCGGUCAAGUCUGCUCCAAGAUGCCCGCUCACCGCUCACCCUCUCCCUCCACCUCGUCUGCUUUGCUCGCUGGUAGGACACCAUUCCAUCAUGGUCCCUCUGGAGGGGAGAGUGUGGACAUUGCGGCCAGAGGGACCCACAGUGUGCUCUUGGGCAGGUGAAGCCCUCCUUCCUCGGCUCGCCUGUCUAUCAGGGGUGGGGUUGCAUGUGUGUGCACGUGUGGGGGUUGGACCAAGCCCACCCCUGAUGCGUGACAGAUAUGGCAGAGUCAGAACUCAACGCAGGUGGGUUCUCUCUCUUCUUAGAUUUGUCUCCUCCUUACUCAGGCCCACCUUGUGUUUGGAAUAAGAACGUUGCUGGAUGGGAGACGGGAUCUCUGGGUCACUGAUCUUAACCCCUGCCUCUAAUCUUGGCCUCUGGGGCUGAGGGUGAUGGGUGGAUGUGGGGAUUCUGAGCUUCCUGUUUUCUUCCCUCCUCUCCAGGGAAUGCCUGAAUCACUGGCGGCUCUAAUUACAGCCGCCCGCCUUCCCAGGUUCCUGACCUCACGGAGGCAGCGUCACCCAUUGCCCACAGCAGCUGGCUGGAACGGCCCCCUCUUUUCCACCAGCCUGCCUGAGAAACCCAGGGGAGUGGACCCAAGCCGACAAGAGCCCGCUGGGCACGGGGUCUCUGAAACUCCGUGCUGAGCACACGCGGCUCCCCAGCCACUGCCCUGGCUUCCGAGAGUCUGUCUGCAGGGGAGCUCUUAGGAUGCAGGUCGUGGGGGUGGGGAGGAGGGUGGGCCAGGGAGACGGGCCUGCAGUCUGGGGCCCAGCAGAGCCCGGGAAGCCCGGGAAGUUUACUUGCACUCUUUCCUGUGCAAGCGGGCUCCAGAGCCACACUACUGGGGCUCAGAUCCUGGCUCCUCGCUCCCUAGCCACGUGACCUUGAAGAAGCUGCUUGCGCACCUCGGUCAUGAUAAUUGUGAUGUCACGAGGGUUAUAUAAGUUAAUACAUGGAGUGUUUACAAAGUG